rnacentral:rRNA from 1 species
CACCUCUUCCCAUUCCGAACAGAGAAGUUAAGCUCGCUCGCGCCGAUGGUACUGCACUGCGUUGUGGGAGAGUAGGUCGCCGCCACUU